UAUUCUUCCACUAUUAAAUUAAAUCUCACUGUUAAUUUUAGGAUUGUAAAAUGUACAGUUUUCCAGUGUUCAGAAGUUGUUUAGAUCAUACCUCAUAUGCUAUAUAAGCUUUUUUUUUGUGCUGUCAUAUUUAACUGUGCAGGUUUAGUGUCUGCCUUCAGCAGGAAUAACAAGUAACAAAUAACUGGAAAUGUAAGAAGAAAGGUCUU